CAGUAGCGUAUAUUAAUGUUGUUGCAGUUAAAAAGCUCGUAGUUGGAUUUCUGUUGGGAACGACCGGUCCGCCCAUUGGGUGUGCAUCUGGCUUGUUCUCGGCAUCUUCUUGGUGAACGUUGCUGCACUUGACUGUGUGGAGCGCUACCCAGGACUUUUACUUUGAGGAAAUAAGAGUGUUCCAAGCAGGCUCUCGUCGUGCAUAGCUCAGCAUGGAAUAAUAGCAUUGGAUCUCGAUUCCAAACUGUUGGUUGUAGGAAACGAGAUAAUGAUGAAGAGGGAUAGUUGGGGGCAUUCGUAUUUAACUGUCAGAGGUGAAAUUCUUGGAUUUGUUAAAGACGAACUACUGCGAAAGCAUCUGCCAUGGAUGUUUUCAUUGAUCAAGAACGAAAGUUAGGGGAUCGAAGAUGAUCAGAU
rnacentral:rRNA from 1 species